rnacentral:lncRNA from 1 species
UUACAUAAUAUUAAAAUUAUUUCGUUUCAGUGUUGCCAGUACACAUUUUUUUAACUUAAAAAUUAUUUUUUUUUUUUCGAUAUUUUUCGACGAUUGCCGACGAUUUUUUUCUUUUUUUUUAUAAAUAACAGGAUUUAGUUGCACUGUUUAUUGUUUUUGCGAUAUAGUUUGCCGAUGAAUAGCGUGUUAUUCUUUGCGAUUACGCGAAGCCACAAAGAAAAUAUUUCCGAAUUUCCUUCAGUUAAGUAUGACCUGUUGUCAGUCGUAAUGCCAUUAAUGAUACUGGCAAUGUGUUUAAAGAUUCAAGAACAUCGAGCGGUUACGUCAUUGGAAGGAAUCUGCAGUAGUUACACGUGGAUGAUGUCGAUCCUCCUUAUCUUGACCACGCGGGACUUACUCAACUAAUUACCGUACUAAGGAUGACCGAGGUGUUGUCUUAUAUGCGGCAGAUAAGAAGGAAAAUCCUGUUUGAGAUAACAGGAGACAUAUGCCUCUUUAACCCGAUGAUAACCUCCAUUAUUUAGAGAAGGAUCUCCAAGACAAUACACUUUACCGAAAAUACGUUUACAUGCUCCUGUCUGCCAUAUUUUUUUUUGUUUUGUUUUUUAAAUAAUCUUUUGUUUGAUGAAGUAUCAAUGUGGCGCCUACCUAAAAACGUUAAUCCCCUAACAAUUCGCAAAGGUAAUUAAAUAAGAAAUCCUCGUGAGAAGUGAUACUUAGUCUCAUUGUUAAAAAGUCAGCGAGUAUCCGGUUCUUUGGUUUCUUUGAUUGUAGCGUAAAGUAUUUUCAACGUUUCCAUUAAAAGAAACGCUAAGGAGAUGAUUCUUUUGUUCAGACUUAAAAUAUUUACCAAAGAAAUGAGUGGUUAGAAGGAAUAAGCGUGAAGUAAAGCCUUCAUUACAUCUUCAUACAGAUAAAGAAAAAUAUACUGAAACCGUACAAGGACGAAGAAGAUCAAGUAUUAAGAAUAUGUGGUUGCAUUAUAUAUUUAUAUAUAAAAAUCUCCUUCACUCUGUAAUUUGUAAGAAAAUUUGGUAGAAAAAUAUACUCUCCAGAUAGAAGUUUGAAUACUUAAGAAGCACUUAUUGCUGAGAUAAUCAAUUUUGGAACAUUUUGAACUAAUUGGAAUCGGGAUGGAUUUAACAGCAAAAAAAUACGUAAAAGGAAAAAAAAAAUUUAAUAAUUAUAACGACA